rnacentral:lncRNA from 1 species
GGCCUUGGAUGUCAUCAGAGGGAAAUUAGGAGGUAAUUUUUAAACAUUUUCUUAAAGCUUUUUUUUUUCCUAUUUAAACAUGAAAAAUGUUUAUUGUAGAAUUGGUAUCCUUAAUCUGCUAAACAGUUGGGCAAAUCUAAUUUGGUCAGAACUAUCAUCCUAGUUUUUUUGUUUUCAGUUGUUUGGAAAGAUUUGAUUCCCCUCCACUCUUUUUUGUCUUCUUCCAGCAUCUCAUCUUUCUUAGCUCAUGUCAGCUCAGUCCUCUUUGAUGUUUUGGAACUGUAUGGAUAGGCAGCUUGUCUAUGGACUAAAUUUACUAGUC